AGAGCUGUGGCUCAGUCGGUGGAGCAUGGCACUUGCAAUGCCAAGGGCCGUGGGUUCGAUUCCCGCUUGGGCCA
rnacentral:tRNA from 1 species